CUUAGGACGAACGCUGGCGGCGUGCCUAAUACAUGCAAGUCGAACGGUCUUUCUAUGGAAGCUUGCUCCACUGAGAAGAUAGUGGCGAACGGGUGAGUAACACGUGGGUAACCUGCCCAUAAGAGGGGGAUAACAUCCGGAAACGGGUGCUAAUACCGCAUAGUUUUCUUGAUUGCAUGAUUGAGAAAGGAAAGACGGCCUUUGUGCUGUCGCUUAUGGAUGGACCCGCGGCGUAUUAGUUAGUUGGUGAGGUAACGGCUCACCAAGACGAUGAUACGUAGCCGACCUGAGAGGGUGAUCGGCCACAUUGGGACUGAGACACGGCCCAAACUCCUACGGGAGGCAGCAGUAGGGAAUCUUCCGCAAUGGACGAAAGUCUGACGGAGCAACGCCGCGUGAGUGAAAGAAGGUUUUCGGAUCGUAAAACUCUGUUGUCAGAGAAGAACAAGUUGGAGAGUAACUGCUCCAGCCUUGACGGUAUCUGACCAGAAAGCCACGGCUAACUACGUGCCAGCCGCGGC
rnacentral:rRNA from 1 species